AUUGAACGCUGGCGGCAUGCUUUACACAUGCAAGUCGAACGGCAGCACGGGCUUCGGCCUGGUUGCGAGUGGCGAACGGGUGAGUAAUACACCGGAAUGUACUCAGAUGUGGGGGAUAAUGUAUCGAAAGUUACGCUAAUACUGCAUACGAGGUACGGCUGAAACCUGGGGAGCGCAAGGCCUUGUGGUCCUGGAGCGGCGGAUUUCCGAUUUGCUAGCUGGUGGGGUAAAGGCUCACCAAGGCGACGAUCAGUAGCUGGUCUGAGAGGACGACCAGCCACACUGGAACUGAGACACGGUCCAGGCUCCUACGGGAGGCAGCAGUGGGGAAUUUUGGACAGUAGGCGCAAGCCUGAUCCAGCAAUGCCGCGUGUGUGAAGAAGGCCUUCGGGUUGUAAAGCUCUUUUGUCAGGGAAGAAACGGUAGAGGCUAAUAUCCUUUGCUAAUGACGGUACCUGAAGAAUAAGCACCGGCUAACUACGUG
rnacentral:rRNA from 1 species